rnacentral:tRNA from 1 species
GUAUGCUCAAUCAGUUGGUAGAAUGUUUGCCUCACAUGCACAAGGCCCUGGGUUCAAUCCCCAGCACCACACA